CACACAAAAUUAGCAUGUUAGCAAACAUGAUUCGCAAGAUGAACCCAGAGAUUUCAAAUAGGAAUCUGUAGUAUUAAAAACAUUCUGAUCUG